rnacentral:lncRNA from 1 species
GUAUUUUUAAAUGACUAUAAUAUUGUGUAUACUUACCAUCCAGCAUUAUCAGUAUUUUAUCCAUCAAAAUGUGUAUAAUGAUGUUGUAUGAUAUCACUAUUUUUGUAAAUACAUGUGUUUUUGUCAUGGUUGAUAUUUUUAUAUCAUAGCCAAAUGUGGUGUAUAAUGGUUAGUAUGCACGAAGCUGCCAAAUUAUUUUUAUUGUAUUUAUUUAAUUGUUGAAAUAUUUUUAUAGUUUGUAAAUGAUAGUAUGUCAUUUAUAAGAAGGAUAUAAGACCAUUUUUGGUGCUGACACUAUCCUUUUGAAAUUAAAAUUUGUGACUUUACAGACACAAUUUACCAACCGUCUUCAAAUUGUUCAUAACUUAGUAAGCUGACUGACCAAAAGGGGGGGGGGGGCCUGAUUCAGUCCCGCUUCAGUGAUUCCCUAUUUAAGCAACCAAUUUUUUUUCCCAUGAAAGGAGAGGGGACCUAUGCCAAAUUUCACUGUAGGAGUAGACAACUGUAAAGUGUAAGGCAAAGAGACAUUUACAUUGAGAUGAUUGACUUGUUUUCCUUACUCAUGAUAGAGUUCAGUCAAACUUUUAUCUAGUAUCAAAACUCUUAUGAACUAUAUAAUCAUUUCACCAAGUAUUUGAUUUGCAUUAUUUUUAUUUCUUUUCAACGUCAUAAUAUUUUGGAUGAUAUUCUCCUUACUAUUUGAUUGACUACACUAUAGUUGUGUGGUAAUUAUAAAGUUACAUAUUAUUCACACCAUCCGUUUUAGUUUUCCAUUUUGGGACCCGUGGUGCACAUAAAUCUGUAUGUACAGUGAAGAUUUAUUUAGAUUGUAUAAUUGCCAUGUUAAUUUAAAUUCUUUAUGAUGGUUUGGUAGAUUUUCUAGAACUAGAGCAGUUUCCUAUGGGGGUCUCAUUGGGGGUGCCGAUCCCGGAUUCCGCUUACUGUUUUGUCACAUUCCCGUUUCCCGCUUACACUAUGUACGUAAGCAAUUCUCGUUUUUUUGUCAUUUCCCGGAUCCCAUUAGACCUCAUUUCCCGUUUUCACAACACAAUAAUUUGACUUUCACGUUUCAUGCUAACAAAAAAUCGGCAAUCCCGCGUCACGCUUAGACCCCAAUGAGAUCCACACCUAUAUGAUAGUUUGCAUCUUGAAAGUCAGUCAUGUAAUAUUUUAACUACAAAUAAAUUUCAUUUACUUUUCUAUUCUUGGAGUCAGAAGACAUACAUGUAGUUAGUAUAAAUUUUACAUAAUUGAUCAUUUAAAAUGUACACUGCUUGGCUUUGUAAAAAUCAUGAGAUGGAUAAAGAAAGCCAUUUCAGUUUUCCCAGAAAUUGCAAUGAAAUAUUGAAUAAUCAAGAAAUGUUCCUGUAUUCUAGCAUCAGUUUGAUAGGACUAAGUUUAGAUUUCAGUUUAUUGAUGACAUACCAAUUAAAACAAUAAACAUUUAUUUAAAACCAUAUUUUAAUGAAACUAAGACUGGUUUUAAAACUUAUUUUACACCAAAAAUGAGUUGUAUACAUAGCAUCAUGGCAUGUCAGUGAAAUGUCUUGAAUAAUUUUAAUAGUAAUUUACCAAAAAUAUUUGAAAUUGAUGUGAGAGAUUCUCACUAUGGUCAUGAUGAUUCAAUGCUAAAAUAUCUUUACAAUAUUAAGUGUGUCUGUUGGAAUAGUUGCGUAAAAAAUCUGAUGUUUGUGUGUUUGUAAAUACAAUUGUUUUAAUGUGUAUGUGUAUGUGUGUUUUAGUCAAUGUUGUGCAUUUGUGUCAUGUAUAGUAUUGUAUUGUAUAAAGUAUUUUAAUUUGUAGACCAAGUAUGGUUGUAUAAACUUGUAACAUGGCCUUUACAGAAAGUAUAUUUUUAAUAGCAUUUAAUUUUAGUAUCAACUUUCCUUCAUAUUGUUAGUUGUUUAUGGUAGUGUUGCUCUUCUGACCUAUCUAAAUUGUUGAAAUCAUACUGAAUAUGCAUUUGAUAAUUACCAUUUGACAUACAUACUGAAUAUGCAUUAGAUAAUUAACAUUUGACAUACAUACUGAAUAUGCAUUAGAUAAUUACCAUUUGACAUACAUGACAUAGGCAAAUAACAAUCAACUAAUUAAUCAAAUAAUUCAAAGAAUUCAAAGAAUUAGAAUAAAGCAUCUGAAAGCAUUGGAUGACAUUUUGAAUACAUUGACUAUAAUAUUUAUUAUAUAGUUUUUAACCUUGUCAGUACAUAUUUGUGUGCCUUACAUAAAUCAUAUUUAAAAGAAAUACAGUCACAUAGGUUUUAGUCUUUUCUUCCUGAAAUCUUUUAAUUUUCAUUGUUUUUACCUUCCAUGUAGUCAAGAGUUGUGUGAUAGCCUUUUAAAUCAAAAGCUUCCAAUUUAAUCAAAUAGAUUUAUAUGCAUUGAUAGCCUUAUAGUGAGAACCAAAAUUGGUAUCUGCCUUAUAAUUAAUUUAUAAACAUUUACCCUGCAUGAAGUUUUUUUUAUCAAGCAACAUGUCUAUUGUAAAAGACUUAAUUUUUUUAUAUAAAUAAGGCCGUUAGUUUUCUCCUUUGAAUUGUUUUACAUUGUCUUAUCAGGGCCUUUUAUAGCUGACUAUGGGGUAUGGGCUUUGCUCAUUGUUGAAGGCCGUAGGGUGACCUAUAGUUGUUAAUCGGUCUCUUGUGGACAGUUGUCUCAUUGGCAAUCAUACCACAUCUUCUUUUUUUUAUAUUUGUUAAACAUUAGAUGACUUUUUGAUUCUCUGUGUUGUUAGGUCGCUGUCUCAUUGACAUUUCACACAUCAUCUUUUUAUGCCACUAAGUGAAAAAGACAAUAUUUUUUACAUUUGUCUGUUUGUAUGUCAAUGCAAUUUGUAUGUAUGUCCCGAAAAUCGGUUCGCCUUCUCCAACUUUACUUUGCCUCAACCAAAUGUUAAAAAACUUAUACACAAUGCUAAAUUCCACCAAGCACAGAUCAAAUUCAUAUUCAGGGCAUAUCACUUCCAAAGUUCUUGAGUUAUGUCCCUUUAUUAUCGCUGAAUUUACAGUAGAUUUAAAUACAGGAUAUCUUCUUUAAUUAGUAUAUAAAAAUAUAUCAAACACUUUUAUGAGAGAGAAAUCAAAAAAUCUGUUUCAUUGUUUAUUCUAAGCUUAGUUGUUAGAACAAGUUUUGUAUAGAUGUUUUCUAUAUAAUUACAAUUUUGAAGCUGUGUGCAAUGCUCUAUAUUAUUUUAUAGAUUUUAGAUUGAAAUAUUCCACCAAAGUAUUUUUUAGAUGAUAAUUCUUUAGACCAGCUCUGUGAUAGAUGAAUUGCAUGAAUCUUAUUUAAUUGUAUACAUGAACUUACAAGUUUUUAAAUGUCUUUUAUCAUCCUAAAUGUUUUCUACUGUAAAAUUAUGCUAUCCUUCAUUCAUUGAUCAUCAAUAUCAAUUUGUAUACAAAUAUAUGUACAUGUAUUUGAUUCCUUUCUUUGUUUUACCAGAACAAUCAUUUAAUGGACAUUACAUGAAGAAAAGGACACAAAAUAUGUUUGUUUUCCUCUUUUACUUGUCUUUUCAGUCUUAAUAAGGUGAAAAUUCUGAUUUGUAAUAAUGAAACUAAAAUACUGCCAUAAUCUUUCAAUCUGUUAUCAGAAAGAAUUGCUUAUCAUUUUUCAUGCUCUUCAAUAUUAUGCAUUAAAUGUUAACAAAUUUAUGUAACACCAUUGUUUAAUCAUUAUCAAAUGCUUUAGCUAGCUGACAUGUUGUUUAAGCAAAAAAGUAAUUCAUUAAUAAUUAGAUUAAUUUAAAUAUGGAUUGUAGGAAAUUCAACAUUAUUAACUUAAAUUUCUAAAUGUAAGAUAACAUAUUAUGAUAAUCAAUGUGAUUAGGUUUUAUAUAAGUAUCUAAUUAUUAAAGGGAGAUAACUUCUUCUUUAGAGGUUACAAAAUUUGAAAACUAGGUGCAUCUGAUUUUAAUUUAAUUUUAGUGAUGUCCAUCAUUAUGAUUAUUUAAUUUUGCCAUUAUAGUUUUCAAUAUGGUAUGGCAUGUGUUUGAGUAUGCUUACAAUCAAUUUUAGUCACAGGAUUUUUUGUGAAAUGUAGGCCUUAUAAAUUAUGCAUAUUGUAAACUAAGAUUCUUGAUUAAACCAGUGCAAUGAUGUUUUAUGUAAAUUAUAAUUUAGCUAGUGUGAAUCUCACUAAAUGUUGGCAUUAUAAGUUAUGUGAUGACCAUGGAAUAAUAUUGCAAGUUUAACGGCUAACAUAUAUUGCUGUUUUUAUUUUAUUUUUUACCACAUGCUAUUUAUUACAAUCUUCCACCUGAUUCUUCAUGUCAAGUUGUCCACCUCAGUAUUAAUCACCCUUAAUUACUUUUCUUUUUAGGUAAACCUUUUGCUUCAACAGUGAUUAAAAUUCAUGGUCAGCCUAUAUCAUUUGAUUACAAAUAAAACACUUAUACAUCCAGACAUAAGGUGGAAAUUAAAACAACAAAUGUUAUUUUUAGAUGUAAAUUACUAUCCAUACAGAACAUGAUAAAUCAAACCUUAUAUAAAUCAUUGAAUAUUUACAAAUGUCUUUAACUGUGCAUAAUGUUUACCAUAUUUCAGCAGUGUGAGAUUCAUAUUUGUGAUAUUCUGCUGAAUAAAGAAUUUAUUUUAGC